GCUUUCGUAGUGUAGUGGUCAUUACGGUCGGCGUUUAUUCGAGAGGUCUGUGGUUCGAGUCCCGGCGAGGGCA
rnacentral:tRNA from 1 species